rnacentral:rRNA from 1 species
GAUGAACGCUGGCGGCGUGCCUAAUACAUGCAAGUCGAGCGAACAGACGACGAGCUUGCUCCUCUGAUGUUAGCCGCGGAAGGGUGAGUAACAUGUCGAUACCCUACCUACAAGAUUGGGUUAACUUCGGGAAACCGGUGCUAAAACCGGAUACUAUAUUCAACCGCAUGGUUCAAUAGUGAAAGACGGUUUUGCUGUCCUCUCUACAUGGCUCCGCGCUGCAUUAGCUAGUUGGUACGGUAACGGCUUACCAAGGCAACGAUGAGUAGCCGACCUGAGAGGGUGAUCGGCCACACUGGGACUGAGACACGAUUCAGACUCCGACGGGAGGCAGCGGUAGGGAAGCUUCCGCGAUGUGCGGAAGCCUGACGGAGCGGCGCCGCGUGGGUGAUGAAGGGCUUCGGGUCGUAUAACGCUGUUAGUAUGGAAGAACGAAUGUAGAAGGAGCGAUGCUCGUCGUGACGGUACCUGAUCAAAAAGCCACGGCUAACUACGUG